GACGAACGCUGGCGGCGUGCUUAACACAUGCCAGUCGAACGGAAAGGCCCUGCUUUUGUGGGGUGCUCGAGUGGCGAACGGGUGAGUAACACGUGAGUAACCUGCCCUUGACUUUGGGAUAACUUCAGGAAACUGGGGCUAAUACCGGAUAGGAGCUCCUGCUGCAUGGUGGGGGUUGGAAAGUUUCGGCGGUUGGGGAUGGACUCGCGGCUUAUCAGCUUGUUGGUGGGGUAGUGGCUUACCUAGGCUUUGACGGGUAGCCGGCCUGAGAGGGUGACCGGCCACAUUGGGACUGAGAUACGGCCCAGACUCCUACGGGAGGCAGCAGUGGGGAAUAUUGCACAAUGGGCGGAAGCCUGAUGCAGCAACGCCGCGUGCGGGAUGACGGCCUUCGGGUUGUAAACCGCUUUCGCCUGUGACGAAGCGUGAGUGACGGUAAUGGGUAAAGAAGCACCGGCUAACUACGUG
rnacentral:rRNA from 1 species